UGACGUCAGUUCCUCCUCCUGACUCCAGUCGAUCAGGAGGAUUUUAUGAUGUCGUACAGAAACUCGGGUCUCUUCACCCAGAAAGCUUCAGGUUGCGGCCGAUAUCGCCAAGGCUUUCUGGUUUUGCGUGACCCCACAAGC